CCUUACCGCGGGCGCUCCCGCCUCCCCGCACCGAUAAAUGCCCGCUCGGCUCCCAAAGUUCCCAGCUGCAAAGUUCGCUCCGCUGACUGCCCCGCCGCCGGAGGAAGCUGGGGGACCCCUCUUGCCCUGGGACUUUUGCUCCCCGCCUUCCAGUCCCCCCUUGCGCGCUCCUCCAGGCGCGGGCCUGCGAAUCUUCCCAGAAACUAGCUGCUCGCCGCCGAGGGGAACAGGCUGCCCGCGAAGAUGUGGAAGGCGCGGGUGCUGCUGGUGGUUUUGGGGAGUGCAUUGCUCUGGGCUCCGGCAGGAGAAGCCACCACAGUCCUGCCAGAAGAUGACGCUACCACCGCAAGUAUGGAAAGUAGCAUGGUGAUCCCAGGUGUGGAUGAUAACACGAUGACCCCAAGUGCCAGUGAACAGUCCCAUAAGCCUGCUGGCUUCACCAGUCAGGUGCCCACAAAUACAAAGCGCACAGACACUCCCAUAGAGGAUCUGCCAACCACAGAGAGCACAGGCCAUGCCCAAGAGGAAACCCAGAGCACCACAGCCUUGAAUGGGGCCACUAGUCACUCCAGGGAAGACACACAGACAACAGGUGCGAAAGAUGGCUUUUCAACUGGGACCCUGAUUGGAAUCAUAGUUGGCGUCUUACUAGGCAUUGGAUUCAUUGCUGGGAUCAUCAUUGUGGUCGUGCGAAAAAUGUCGGGAAGGUACUCGCCCUAAAGAGCUGAAGAAUGUGCCCUCCUGCCAACAUGUUUAAAAAAGACUUUAUACCUCCCCUGUCCCUGAGCACAUGGGAGAAGAUGACCCAUGGAAAUGCCUGGCUCCCCCACUCAGAAUCCAUGGUGAUCCCUCCGCCUGCCAAGAGUAACCGCAGGAACGAUCAUCCACAGACUUGCUCCUCUAAAUAUUUUGUCUUUUGAGAAACUUUUUUUUUUAACAUACAAGUUUUGGAAAAGAUGACUUAGAAAACAAAAUGCAUAGGAAACGGAGCACACUCUAUAGAUUGAUUUGUCACUCAGACAGACAAUGUAAUUCCAUCGAGGGCAGAUGCCGCAGUCAUGCCUUUGUUCUAACCGUUCUCUGUUAUUGUUAAAAUGCAAAGGAAUCUGGAAAUAUUUAUACCAGUGGAGUCCUUGGGUCUAGUGCUAUGUCAGUAAAUGGCAUCAGCAUUUUGCAAUUUCUGGUCUGUUGAAAUGUACACAUUCCGGUCUAGUUUGGUCCAUCUUUAAAGCCUGGUCUGGUGUGAAUAAUCAAGUGGAAGAAUCUCAGCUGGAGCAAUAUGUAAAUCUCACAACAAGCUAACAAGCUACGGGGCAGCCUCCAGGCUUGCUUUCCCCUCGUUUCCAGCGAUGACUUGAUGACUCAAAGGUUUGCUCCUACUUGACCCUCUGCUUCCCUCAGAUGCUGGGGAGCCAGUGGUAAGGGGGUGGCCUUCUCAUUUCCAUGACGCAGGCCCUUCAGGUUGGCUGUUUUGAUCUAGACCAGUGGUUGCCAACCGGUGGUCCAUGAACCACUGGUGGUCCAUGAGGUCCAAAAGGUUGGCGACCGCUGAUCUCGACUAUGGAGACCUCAGCCCUGAUGGUGGCUCAGGAGGCUGCUGGCAGCCCGGCGAUACCAGAGGCUCACCUAUCCCAGACACUAAGAACCUUGGUGGUCCCCAAACAGAAAGAAGCCCUCCGUGUGCCUCUGGCAUGGGAGCCAGAACCUGCCGGGUUUCUAACUUUCCCUUCCUGCCUUAGAGGAAAUAAUCUUAUAAAAUGUUAAUUUUUAAGAAGCAGCUGGAUUUAAAAACAGAAGAUACUCCCAGUCUUCACGGGAUCCCACAUGUUUCUGUGGGGUUGUAGUUGAAAAAUCAGAAUCAAGGUGCCCAAGCUGAUGUUCUUGGUGUGGGCACCGCCCAGUUCAUGCCUUUGUUUCCCAGUAAUGAUGUAAGAGUUCAUCUUAGAUUUGAGGUGAUUUUGCUGUUUUAUUUGUGUCUUCCCUAUAUUCAGAAGUGUUCUUAGUGACAAAAGCAUAGGGUAAUAGUUAAAUUGGUUAUGUUGACUUCUCAAACUUCCUAAACCAUUUAAAUAACCUUGUUUUGACGCACUUUCUUGGGAUUCCUGCUGUUUCCUGAAAAAUGCCUACGGGUCAAACUUGUGAAAAGCUCACCAUCAGAUAGGAUUUCUGCAAAAUACUUCAAAAUCUUGUCCUUUCAGAAGGAGAUGCCGGACUCAAGGCUUUCUUGGCUAUCCCUCUCAGUGUCUGAAAAGUCUUUGGUGUUUCAGACAAGCAGAAUUAGAGUUUGCUGGGGAGUGGUCUGCCAUUUGGGGAGGUCAUGAGGAUCCAAAGGUACUGUUACCAGUGCACAGCUGACGAGGUAGAAUUGUGGGUGCCCGUGUGCCUUAAGUCAUGGCUAAAUAACGAUGUAGAGAAGAAUUGUUAGCCUAGACUGAUAGUUAAACAGCUACUUCAGAAAUGUACUAAACAAUUAGUUACUAUAGAUCUUACUCAGCAUCUGGUCUCUGGCCAUGCCAUAUGCAUAAGCACCUAUUAGCCAUUAUAGUGGCCUGCUGUAGUGUUUUAACUGUACCUGUUUGUACUCUGUCUUUGUUCUGGAAGUUCCUCAACAAUAGGAGGUUCUUGAACUCGAGUCCUUUCCAACGAUAAAGAGCCAGAAUAUGUCGUCAUUUUUACAGACUGUACUACAAAACAUGCCCCUGGUGGUAGAUGCUUUAGAAUGCACAGUGCGUACCCCCCUUUGUCUCCAGUCUUGUCUGAAAGAAUCAUUUUGUACUGGAUCCCAUUUAUACCGUUCAAGGGUAAAAAAAAGUUCUCUGAGUCACUGCAUUUAUCAAGUUCAUUCAGUUAGCCUCUUACUCAUCCAGUGCUUUUGGAAAAAGACCACAGGGGACCAAAGUGCCUACUAAAAUUGUAUCUCUGUUUCCUCCAGUUCAUUGUAAUUAUUUUGCUUUGUUUUAUUGGUUUCAUUGUUUAACAGAGGGUUACAUUGCUAUAGUGAAAUUGGCCUAAAAGGAAGCACAGAGAAUCAGAUAAGAAAACUGUUGUUCUAACUGGUAGGUGGCAGCAGCAUCCCCGCCAGCUGGCCCCCCUUGGUGUUUGUCACUGAACUGUGCUGUGGACACAUCAGAAGGAUGUGUCUUAAAAGGGGUCCAUUUACAAGUGACCAUGAAUUUGUGAAGACAGGGCAUCAUAUCAUAUUCUGAUUAUCUGGGCACAAGAGUGGGCAUUUCUUCAGGGGGUUGGUUCUCUUUUUAGUGCCUUUAGCCCAUUUGGUAUAAAACCAGGAUUCCUGAACUCAGGCCUGAGAUUAUCAUGAGGGCUUAGCAGGCCUCGUCCUUGGUACAUACUUGUUGUGUUACACUGGUAAGGAGUUGUUUUAACUAUAGUCGUCUUCCCUUUCAGUAGAUUUCUACUUGUAAAUUUUAUUCAGGGAUGAUUUCAUGGCACAUCGUCAGAAAUACUCACUUCUCUCUGUUCUCAGUGAUUUAGCUUUACUCACCCUGUUGUGUACUGAAGGACUUCCCACAGCACUGGCAGCACCUCCUCCUCCUGCGUGUGUCAUCAUAGCCAUCUGUGAUUAAGAGCCAGCCCCCAGCAUUCACCACAGGUUAUUACAGAAAUAAACGAUGUGUCCUCCCAUAUCCAUCUCUGCCACACCACUCCCGGUAGGGCUGGGGCCGGGCCAGCGUGUGCCUGUUGAGCAGCCCCCAAGUAGCUGCACACUUCCAGAAUCAACCUGUUGCUGUCCUAACAUUUGUCAUAUGGAUCAUCUCACCUUCUCUUUAACAUGGUCAAUUCAUGUAAGGUUGUGUUAUGUUGUCAUUUAUCUUCAGUUUUCUUAUUUUCUAGGAACUUCCUGUAGAAAAGCCCCCCACACAAAACAAACCUUAAUUGACUAAAUAAAGAUAAUGCAUGCUCAACUUAGGAUAAGCACUACGACAAAGGAUGCGAAAUCUACCCAGCUUGCAAGACCAGUUGAAGCUGUCUCACAAAUCCGCAGGCUUCUUGUUGCCCUGGUUAGAGUCAGGCAUCUGCUUCUUCGCUGGUGCCCAACACGUGCUGGGCACCCGGGUGAUUGAGAUGCCAGAGGUGCUGUAAGACGGGCUAGAUGAACUGGCCCAUCGUCACAGGACUGAUCACUCAGAUGUGAAUGUGGCCCUGGUUCUGGCACAUAGCAGAGGAAGGAGUGAUUUGAACCUAACCUUGCAAAGCAGGUUCUCUUUUUUAUCAGUAGUUUAUGUAGAUGUCAGGGAUGACAAUUCUAAUGCACUUGUUUGAAGAAGUUUUGGUCACACACCAGCUCUUGAUGCCUUUCUUCUAAGUUAAUUACAGACAGAGGCAUUUAGCUUCUCUCUGCCUGCUUUUUUUUUUUUUUUUUUUUUUUUUAAAUCACAAGCUGAUGGCCAGCAUAAUGGAGAGGAAACCGGAUUGGAUAUGGACUCCUUUUUAUGCCUCUUCCAGUUUCAUGUGUGUUUAUCCAGAUGGACAUCCUCUCGAAUAAAUAUGUGGCACUAAUUUAUAACUGUUAUAUAAUGGGAGGCUAUGUAGCAAUAUACCGAUGCCUACGAUGCAUCUCAGGCCUAGGAAGGUGUAUGUCUGCACUUAAGUAAAAAAGUAAAAAUAAAUUUACAUACCAGGCUUACACUGCAGUCUCUAAUAGAGAUUUAAAAACUACAAAUUGGCCUUUUCCUGGGUGUAUCAUUUCUCCAUACAUUAUAUAUGCUUUCACCCUAAUUAAUGACUGAGUUGGUGGGAAAUGGCUAGGUUAUUCAUGUGUUUUUUUUUUUUCUUUUGUUUUCAACUUUAAAAGUAAUCUACCUCUUAAAAUGUGUAGUUUAAUACUUGUUUGGUGAAUUUGUGCCAUUUUAAUCCUUUCACUAUCAUUCCCAUUUUGUUACAUUUCUGUUCUGGGGACUUUUGUGUUGAAAUAUUGUAUAAAGCAUUUGUAGCAGUUUAAAAAUAAAAUAUUUAAAAUUA